rnacentral:rRNA from 1 species
AGAGUUUGAUCAUGGCUCAGAACGAACGCUGGCGGCAUGCCUAACACAUGCAAGUCGAACGAGAAGAUCCCGCAAGGGAUUUGUAAAGUGGCGCACGGGUGAGUAACACGUGGGUAAUCUGCCUUUUUGUUUGGGAUAACCCUUCGAAAGAAGGGCUAAUACCGGAGAGACCACAGGGACAUCAGUCCUAGGGGUUGAAGAUGGGGACCGUAAGGCCUAUCGCAAAAAGAUGAGCCCGCGCACUAUCAGCUAGUUGGUGAGGUAAUGGCUCACCAAGGCUAUGGCGGUUAGCUGGUCUGAGAGGAUGAUCAGCCACACUGGAACUGAGACACGGUCCAGACUCCUACGGGAGGCAGCAGUGGGGAAUCUUGCACAAUGGGCGAAAGCCUGAUGCAGCAAUGCCGCGUGAGUGAUGAAGGCCUUCGGGUUGUAAAUCUCUGUCGGUUGGGAAAAACGGCUCUGCAAUUAAUAAUUGCAGAGAGUGAUGGUACCAGCAAAGGAAGAGGCGGCUAACUCUGUGCCAGCAGCCGCGGUA